rnacentral:rRNA from 1 species
AGGUGAUAUGAACCGUUAUAACCGGCGAUUUCCGAAUGGGGAAACCCAGUGUGAUUCGUCACACUAUCAUUAACUGAAUCCAUAGGUUAAUGAGGCGAACCGGGGGAACUGAAACAUCUAAGUACCCCGAGGAAAAGAAAUCAACCGAGAUUCCCCCAGUAGCGGCGAGCGAACGGGGAGCAGCCCAGAGCCUGAAUCAGUGUGUGUGUUAGUGGAAGCGUCUGGAAAGGCGCGCGAUACAGGGUGACAGCCCCGUACACAAAAAUGCACAUGCUGUGAGCUCGAUGAGUAGGGCGGGACACGUGGUAUCCUGUCUGAAUAUGGGGGGACCAUCCUCCAAGGCUAAAUACUCCUGACUGACCGAUAGUGAACCAGUACCGUGAGGGAAAGGCGAAAAGAACCCCGGCGAGGGGAGUGAAAAAGAACCUGAAACCGUGUACGUACAAGCAGUGGGAGCACGCUUCGGCGUGUGACUGCGUACCUUUUGUAUAAUGGGUCAGCGACUUAUAUUCUGUAGCAAGGUUAACCGAAUAGGGGAGCCGAAGGGAAACCGAGUCUUAACUGGGCGUUAAGUUGCAGGGUAUAGACCCGAAACCCGGUGAUCUAGCCAUGGGCAGGUUGAAGGUUGGGUAACACUAACUGGAGGACCGAACCGACUAAUGUUGAAAAAUUAGCGGAUGACUUGUGGCUGGGGGUGAAAGGCCAAUCAAACCGGGAGAUAGCUGGUUCUCCCCGAAAGCUAUUUAGGUAGCGCCUCGUGAAUUCAUCUCCGGGGGUAGAGCACUGUUUCGGCAAGGGGGUCAUCCCGACUUACCAACCCGAUGCAAACUGCGAAUACCGGAGAAUGUUAUCACGGGAGACACACGGCGGGUGCUAACGUCCGUCGUGAAGAGGGAAACAACCCAGACCGCCAGCUAAGGUCCCAAAGUCAUGGUUAAGUGGGAAACGAUGUGGGAAGGCCCAGACAGCCAGGAUGUUGGCUUAGAAGCAGCCAUCAUUUAAAGAAAGCGUAAUAGCUCACUGGUCGAGUCGGCCUGCGCGGAAGAUGUAACGGGGCUAAACCAUGCACCGAAGCUGCGGCAGCGACGCUGAUGCGUUGUUGGGUAGGGGAGCGUUCUGUAAGCCUGUGAAGGUGUGCUGUGAGGCAUGCUGGAGGUAUCAGAAGUGCGAAUGCUGACAUAAGUAACGAUAAAGCGGGUGAAAAGCCCGCUCGCCGGAAGACCAAGGGUUCCUGUCCAACGUUAAUCGGGGCAGGGUGAGUCGACCCCUAAGGCGAGGCCGAAAGGCGUAGUCGAUGGGAAACAGGUUAAUAUUCCUGUACUUGGUGUUACUGCGAAGGGGGGACGGAGAAGGCUAUGUUGGCCGGGCGACGGUUGUCCCGGUUUAAGCGUGUAGGCUGGUUUUCCAGGCAAAUCCGGAAAAUCAAGGCUGAGGCGUGAUGACGAGGCACUACGGUGCUGAAGCAACAAAUGCCCUGCUUCCAGGAAAAGCCUCUAAGCAUCAGGUAACAUCAAAUCGUACCCCAAACCGACACAGGUGGUCAGGUAGAGAAUACCAAGGCGCUUGAGAGAACUCGGGUGAAGGAACUAGGCAAAAUGGUGCCGUAACUUCGGGAGAAGGCACGCUGAUAUGUAGGUGAAGUCCCUCGCGGAUGGAGCUGAAAUCAGUCGAAGAUACCAGNCGACUUGCUCGUGGAGCUGAAAUCAGUCGAAGAUACCAGCUGGCUGCAACUGUUUAUUAAAAACACAGCACUGUGNUCCCUCGCGGAUGGAGCUGAAAUCAGUCGAAGAUACCAGCUGGCUGCAACUGUUUAUUAAAAACACAGCACUGUGCAAACACGAAAGUGGACGUAUACGGUGUGACGCCUGCCCGGUGCCGGAAGGUUAAUUGAUGGGGUCAGCGCAAGCGAAGCUCUUGAUCGAAGCCCCGGUAAACGGCGGCCGUAACUAUAACGGUCCUAAGGUAGCGAAAUUCCUUGUCGGGUAAGUUCCGACCUGCACGAAUGGCGUAAUGAUGGCCAGGCUGUCUCCACCCGAGACUCAGUGAAAUUGAACUCGCUGUGAAGAUGCAGUGUACCCGCGGCAAGACGGAAAGACCCCGUGAACCUUUACUAUAGCUUGACACUGAACAUUGAGCCUUGAUGUGUAGGAUAGGUGGGAGGCUUUGAAGUGUGGACGCCAGUCUGCAUGGAGCCGACCUUGAAAUACCACCCUUUAAUGUUUGAUGUUCUAACGUUGACCCGUAAUCCGGGUUGCGGACAGUGUCUGGUGGGUAGUUUGACUGGGGCGGUCUCCUCCUAAAGAGUAACGGAGGAGCACGAAGGUUGGCUAAUCCUGGUCGGACAUCAGGAGGUUAGUGCAAUGGCAUAAGCCAGCUUGACUGCGAGCGUGACGGCGCGAGCAGGUGCGAAAGCAGGUCAUAGUGAUCCGGUGGUUCUGAAUGGAAGGGCCAUCGCUCAACGGAUAAAAGGUACUCCGGGGAUAACAGGCUGAUACCGCCCAAGAGUUCAUAUCGACGGCGGUGUUUGGCACCUCGAUGUCGGCUCAUCACAUCCUGGGGCUGAAGUAGGUCCCAAGGGUAUGGCUGUUCGCCAUUUAAAGUGGUACGCGAGCUGGGUUUAGAACGUCGUGAGACAGUUCGGUCCCUAUCUGCCGUGGGCGCUGGAGAACUGAGGGGGGCUGCUCCUAGUACGAGAGGACCGGAGUGGACGCAUCACUGGUGUUCGGGUUGUCAUGCCAAUGGCACUGCCCGGUAGCUAAAUGCGGAAGAGAUAAGUGCUGAAAGCAUCUAAGCACGAAACUUGCCCCGAGAUGAGUUCUCCCUGACUCCUUGAGAGUCCUGAAGGAACGUUGAAGACGACGACGUUGAUAGGCCGGGUGU